AUGAACGCUGGCGGCGUGCCUAAUACAUGCAAGUCGAGCGAACGGACGAGAAGCUUGCUUCUCUGAUGUUAGCGGCGGACGGGUGAGUAACACGUGGAUAACCUACCUAUAAGACUGGGAUAACUUCGGGAAACCGGAGCUAAUACCGGAUAAUAUUUUGAACCGCAUGGUUCAAAAGUGAAAGACGGUCUUGCUGUCACUUAUAGAUGGAUCCGCGCUGCAUUAGCUAGUUGGUAAGGUAACGGCUUACCAAGGCAACGAUGCAUAGCCGACCUGAGAGGGGGGGGGGCAAAAGGGGACCGGGGACAGGGCCCAGCCCCCGGGGGGAGGAAGAAGGAGGAAUUUUUCGGAAAGGGGGGAAGGCCGGAAGAAGCAACGCGGGGGGAGGAAUAAAGGUUUUCGGAUCUAAAAACUUUUUAAUGGGGAAAAAAAAGAUGGAAAAGUAACUGUACACAUCUGGAGGGUACCUAAUAAGAAAGCCACGGUAAAAGACGGC
rnacentral:rRNA from 1 species